AGGUUGGGUAACACUAACUGGAGGACCGAACCGACUAAUGUUGAAAAAUUAGCGGAUGACCUGUGGCUGGGGGUGAAAGGCCAAUCAAACCGGGAGAUAGCUGGUUCUCCCCGAAAGCUAUUUAGGUAGCGCCUCGUGAAUUCAUCUCCGGGGGUAGAGCACUGUUUCGGCUAGGGGGCCAUCCCGGCUUACCAACCCGAUGCAAACUGCGAAUACCGGAGAAUGUUAUCACGGGAGACACACGGCGGGUGCUAACGUCCGUCGUGAAGAGGGAAACAACCCAGACCGCCAGCUAAGGUCCCAAAGUCAUGGUUAAGUGGGAAACGAUGUGGGAAGGCCCAGACAGCCAGGAUGUUGGCUUAGAAGCAGCCAUCAUUUAAAGAAAGCGUAAUAGCUCACUGGUCGAGUCGGCCUGCGCGGAAGAUGUAACGGGGCUAAACCAUG
rnacentral:rRNA from 4 species